rnacentral:rRNA from 1 species
UACGUAGGGUGCGAGCGUUUGUCCGGAAUUAUUGGGCGUAAAGGGCUCGUAGGCGGUCUGUUGCGUCGGUAGUGAAAACUCAGGGCUUAACCCUGAGCCUGCUUCCGAUACGGGCAGACUAGAGGUAUGCAGGGGAGAACGGAAUUCCUGGUGUAGCGGUGAAAUGCGCAGAUAUCAGGAGGAACACCGGUGGCGAAGGCGGUUCUCUGGGCAUUACCUGACGCUGAGGAGCGAAAGUGUGGGGAGCGAACAGG